rnacentral:rRNA from 1 species
UACAGAGGGGGCAAGCGUUGUCCGGAAUCAUUGGGCGUAAAGAGCGUGUAGGCGGCUUGCUAAGUCUUGCGUGAAAUCCCCGGGCUCAACCCGGGAACUGCGUCCGAUACUGGCAGGCUUGAAUCCGGGAGAGGGAUGUGGAAUUCCAGGUGUAGCGGUGAAAUGCGUAGAUAUCUGGAGGAACACCGGUGGCGAAGGCGGCAUCCUGGACCGGUAUUGACGCUGAGGCGCGAAAGCCAGGGGAGCAAACGGG